UACGUAGGGGGCAAGCGUUGUCCGGAUUUAUUGGGCGUAAAGAGCGUGUAGGCGGCCUGACAAGUCUGCUGUGAAAACUCGAGGCUCAACCUCGAGAUGUCGGCGGAAACUGUCUGGCUAGAGUCCGGAAGAGGAGAGUGGAAUUCCUGGUGUAGCGGUGAAAUGCGCAGAUAUCAGGAAGAACACCUAUGGCGAAGGCAGCACUCUGGGACGGUACUGACGCUGAGACGCGAAAGCGUGGGGAGCGAACAGG
rnacentral:rRNA from 1 species